UGUGUGUACACUUAAACAGAUCUUCAAUAAUUCUUUGGUCAGUUCCAAAUGAACACAUCUUACUACAAGUGAUUUACCCUUUUUAAAAUAGAUAAAAUCUGACUACAGUCAAAAACAGUCUUUUUAAAAAACUAAAGUAAAUAUUUUUUUAAAAUAUUCAAAGAAACCAGGCUUAUAAUUUGUUAUGCCAGACACACUUUUGCCUGCAU
rnacentral:lncRNA from 1 species